rnacentral:ncRNA from 1 species
AUAAAGUUUUAUUUUGGCUUAUUAAUUUAUUAUUAAUUUAAUUUAUAUGUAAAAUUUUUUAUGAGUUUUUAUUUAUUUUAAUAAUAAAUGAAAUAAUUUUAUUCGCAGUAAUUAAUAUUAUUAAUUAAAGAAAUUUAGAAAUAGUAAUAUUAAAGAGUAUUGGCUAAAUUUGUGCCAGCAGUCGCGGUUAUACGAAUAAUACAAGUAAAUUUUUUUUAGUUAAAGUUAAUUUAAUUUUUAUAAAAUAAAAAUAAAUUUAUUAGGUGAAAUUUUAAAUUUUAAGAAUUUUUAAUUAUAUUAAUUGAAGCUUGAAAAUUUUAAUAAUAAACUAGGAUUAGAUACCCUAUUAUUUGAAAUGUAAAUAAAAAAACUAAGGUAGUAGUAGUUAUGUUCUUGAAACUUAAAAAAUUUGGCGGUAUUUUAGUCUAUUCAGAGGAACCUGUUCUAUAAUCGAUAAUCCACGAUGGACCUUACUUAAGUUUGUAAUCAGUUUAUAUACCGUCGUUAUUAGAAUAUUUUAUAAGAAUGUUAAUUUUCAGGAUUUUUAAAAGGAAAAUAUAUCAGAUCAAGGUGUAGCUUAUAUUUAAGUAGAAAUGGGUUACAAUAAAUUUAUUUAUACGAAUUUAAAUAUGAAAUAUUUAUUGAAGGUGGAUUUGAUAGUAAAAUUAUAAAGAUUAAUAAUUUGAUUUUAGCUCUAAAAUAUGCACACAUCGCCCGUCACUCUUAUUAUUAAGGUAAGAUAAGUCGUAACAUAGUAGAUGUACUGGAAAGUGUACCUAGAAUG